rnacentral:rRNA from 1 species
CCCAGCAGCCAUAUCACCCUGCAACACAACUGGCAACCCACUGAAACCAAGCAGGUGUGAGCCUGACCAGUACCUGGGCAGUUUGAUGGGAGACCACCUGGGAAAGCUGGUUGCUGCCGGAA